rnacentral:lncRNA from 1 species
GAUUAAGAGGAUAUAUUUUUUGUUUGGAAGACUUUAUUAUUUAUUAUCCUGGGAUGAACGAAAAUUGUAAUUACACAAAUCAUCAUCACAAGUUUCACAACAAGUGGAUGAAGUAUGUUGGUUGCAACCAAACUGUAUUAUCUAGAUCGGACGUGGACAACUGAUGGGACCCAUUACCUCUCUAAGCAAUCUUUCAGAAAAAUUAAAACAAUUAUUACUCGUUGCAACAUUACAGGUGGAAUCUCUCAGUUUUCUACAUAUUCUCUCAUUAAAUUCACUAGUAUAAUUAUACUUUUUACAGUUAAAAUUGCUGCUGUCCAAACAUUCAUCAAACAAAGUUACUUC